rnacentral:rRNA from 1 species
UGGGGAAUUUUGUGCAAUGGGGGAAACCCUGACACAGCGACACCGCGUGAGCGAAGAAGCCCUUUGGGGUGUAAAGCUCUGUCGACAGGGACGAAAAAAAUGACGGUACCUGUAGAGGAAGCAUAGGCUAACUACGUGCCAGCAGCCGCGGUAAGACGUAGGAUGCAAGCGUUGUCCGGAUUUAUUGGGCGUAAAGAGUUCGUAGGCGGUUCGUUAAGUCUGAUGUAAAAGACUGGGGCUCAACCUCGGGACUGCAUUGGAUACUGGCGGACUGGAGUAUGGUAGAGGCAAGUGGAAUUCCCAGUGUAGCGGUGAAAUGCGUAGAUAUUGGGAAGAACACCGGUGGCGCAAGCGACUUGCUGGGCCAUUACUGACGCUGAGGAACGAAAGCUAGGGGAGCGAAUGGG